rnacentral:rRNA from 1 species
AGGACGAACGCUGGCGGCGUGCUUAACACAUGCAAGUCGAGCGGUGAUCCUCCUUCGGGAGGUGAUCAGCGGCGAACGGGUGAGUAACACGUGGGCAACCUGCCCCUCACACUGGGAUAACCUCGGGAAACCGGGGCUAAUACCGGAUACGACCUCGAGCGGCAUCUCUUGAGGUGGAAAGCUCCGACGGUGAGGGAUGGGCCCGCGGCCUAUCAGCUUGUUGGUGGGGUAAUGGCCUACCAAGGCGACGACGGGUAGCCGGCCUGAGAGGGCGACCGGCCACACUGGGACUGAGACACGGCCCAGACUCCUACGGGAGGCAGCAGUGGGGAAUAUUGCGCAAUGGGCGAAAGCCUGACGCAGCGACGCCGCGUGAGGGAUGACGGCCUUCGGGUUGUAAACCUCUUUCAACAGGGACGAAGCGAAAGUGACGGUACCUGCAGAAGAAGCACCGGCUAACUACGUGCCAGCAGCCGC